AGGAGCUGUUCCAGCAUCGGGCCCUGAGGAGACAGGUGACAAGCCUCGUGGUGCUGGGCAGUGCCAUGGAGCUCUGCGGGAAUGACUCGGUGUACGCCUACGCCUCCUCUGUGUUCCGGAAGGCAGGAGUGCCAGAAGCGAAGAUCCAGUAUGCGAUCAUCGGGACUGGGAGCUGCGAGCUGCUCACGGCGGUUGUUAGUGUGAGUCUGGACGGUGCCCUUCCUCCACCAGCCCUGUGGGGAGGGACCCCCAGGUCCUCUGCAUUAAACCAGUUUACACUCCAGCUUAUGGUGUUAAAAUGCAGUGAGGGGCCAGGUGCGGUGGCUCAUGCCUGUAAGCCCAGCACUUUGGGAGGCCGAGGUGGGUGGAUCACGAGGUCAGGAGUUCGAGACCAGCCUGGCCAACACAGUGAAACCCCCGUCUCUACUAAAAAAUACAAAAAAUUAUCUGGGCGUGGUGGCGGGCGCCUGUAAUCCCAGGUACUCGGGAGGCUGAGGCAGGAGAAUCGCAUGAACCCAGUAGGUGGAGGUUGCAGUGAGCCGAGAUGGUGCCAUUGCACUCCAGCCCAGGCAAUAGUGCUGAGGUGGGAUCAGGAGUUGGAGACCAGCCUGGGCAACAUGGUGAAACCCCGUCUCUACAAAAAAUACAAAAAUUAGCCAGGCGUGGUGGUCUUCGCCUGUAGUGCUAGCUACUGGCGAGGCUGAGGUGGGAGGAUCACUUGAGCCUAGGAGGUUGAGACUGCAGUAAACCGAGAUUGUGCCACUGCACUCCAGCGUGGGCUGGACCAGUGAGACCCUGUCUCAAUCAGUCAAUCAAUGCAAUGAGUUAGAGAGCAUCUAUUGAGCAUCUACGGUUUGCGGGUCACUUCCAGCACCAUUUUGAGAUGUGGAAACUGGCUGAAGUUGGGUGAUUGAUUGACCAAGUUCCUUUGGGAAAUUAAUAAAGUCACACUGAAGCAAUAAACUACCAUCACCUCCACCACCAGCUUUCUCAGGAGACCCCUUCCCAUUGCCUGCCCCAGACCUCAGGGACCAUGGCUGGGUGUGUGGGUCUGUGCUUUCUGCCUUUGCAGUGUGUGGUAAUCGAGAGGGUGGGUCGGCGCGUGCUGCUCAUCGGUGGGUACAGCCUGAUGACCUGCUGGGGGAGCAUCUUCACUGUGGCCCUGUGCCUGCAGGUAGCUGGGGUGGAUGAGGGCUGGGGGGUCCAGGCUGGGCUGACUUCCACCUCACCCCCGCCCCGUCCACGGCAGAGCUCCUUCCCCUGGACACUCUACCUGGCCAUGGCCUGCAUCUUUGCCUUCAUCCUCAGCUUUGGCAUUGGCCCUGGUGAGUGGGCCCAAGGGGCUCUGGGCAUCCGUCAUCACAUAGAAGGAGUGAUGGGUGCCUGGGUGCACAGUGGGUGGGUGUGAAUGCAAUGUCCCCUGCAGGCCCUCAGAGACCACCUCAUGCCGGGGCUUCUGGGAGGGAAUGGCAGGAGGAGAGCACUGAGGGGCCCCCCAUACAGACUGGGCCUGGGCUCCCACUCCCAUGUCUGGGCUGGGGUCGGGGAGAGGCAGGCAGGGAGCCCUGGCCAGCAGCCCCCUGUCCCUGCCCCUCCUUCUAGCCGGAGUGACGGGGAUCCUGGCCACAGAGCUGUUUGACCAGAUGGCCAGGCCUGCUGCCUGCAUGGUCUGCGGGGCGCUCAUGUGGAUCAUGCUCUUCCUGGUCGGCCUGGGAUUUCCCUUCAUCAUGGAGGCCUUGUCCCACUUCCUCUAUGUCCCUUUCCUUGGUGUCUGUGUCUGUGGGGCCAUCUACACUGGCCUGUUCCUUCCUGAGACCAAAGGCAAGACCUUCCAAGAGAUCUCCGAGGAAUUACACAGACUCAGCUUCCCCAGGCGGGCCCAGGGCCCCACGUGGAGAAGCCUGGAGGUUAUCCAGUCAACAGAACUCUAGUCCCAAAGGGGUGGCCAGAGCCAAAGCCAGCUACUGUCCUGUCCUCUGCUUCCUGCCAGGGCCCUGGUCCUCACUCCCUCCUGCAUUCCUCAUUUAAGGAGUGUUUAUUGAGCACUCUUUGUGUGCAGACAUGGCUCCAGGUGCUUAGCAAUCAAUGGUGAGCGUGGUGUUCCAGGCUAAAGGUAAUUAACUGACAGAAAAUCAGUAACAACAUAAUUACAGACUGGUUGUAGCAGCUCAUGACUGUAAUCCCAGCACUUUGGGAGGCCAAGGUGGGAGGAUCAAUUGAGGCCAGAGUUUGAAACCAGCCUAGGUAACAUAGUGAGACCCCCUAUUUCCACAAAAAAAUUUAAAAAUUAGCUGGGCAUGGUGGUAUGUGCUAACAGCUCUAGCUACUCAGGAGGCUGAGGCAGCAGGAUCACUUGAGUCCAAGAGUUCAAGGUAGCAGUAAGCUACGAUCACACCACUGCAUGCCAGACUGGGUGACAGAGGGAGACUUCAUCUCUUUAAAACAUAAUAAUAAUAAUUACAGACUCAGGAAAUGCAGUGAAAGAAAAAUACAGGUUGGCCAGGUGAGGUGGCUGAUGCCUGUAAUCCCAGCACUUUGGGAGGCCAAGAUGGGAAGAUUGCUUUGAGACCAGAAGUUUGAGACCAGCCUGGGCCACAUAGUAAGAUCCUGUUUCU
rnacentral:lncRNA from 1 species